AGCAAAUUGACAAAAUCGGUCAGCUGUAGAGUCGUUUGUCAACUCGCUGUAAAAUGGCAGGCAAAAACAAGCAGGAACCGGAAGUUGUGAUAGAGGAUGAAUUCGAGAGCCCGGAUAAACCUCUGUCGCCUUCGGAACGGGUUCUGUUCGGAAGUCUUGUGUUCUUUAUGUAUAGUGUGUUCAUAGUCGCUGUGUGUCUAACUGCCAACUAUAACUAGUGACCAGCCGGUCCACGGUUUCAACACUGACUGGUGUAUCGACUACUCUUUUCAGACAUAUUGUUACAUUCCAAAUAGACCGUCACUGUAACCAGACGGGGAAUUUCCAUCGUGACGAAUUAUGCACGCCAACAGCUGUACAUUGUUUGUCCUCUAUAAUCAAGCUGACUAACUACUUCCAAAUUAUCUCCGAACUAUUGCUGAAGCAGAAAUUUCGAUGGGUUACUGCUUGAGUAUGAAUGAUCAGAUAAUGUCAUUGAAAAUUUUGAUUGAUAUGUAAACUGAAUAUAAGGACAGUAAAGAAAUAAUCUGGC
rnacentral:sRNA from 1 species